rnacentral:rRNA from 1 species
UACGAGAGGCCCAAACGUUAUUCGGAAUUACUGGGCUUAAAGAGUUCGUAGGCGGCGCAGAAAGUGGGGUGUGAAAGCCCUCGGCUCAACCGAGGAAUUGCGCUCCAAACUACUGUGCUUGAGGAAGGUAGAGGUGAGCAGAACUGAUGGUGGAGCGGUGAAAUGCGUUGAUAUCAGCAGGAAUACCGGAGGCGAAGGCGGCUCACUGGGGCUUUUCUGACGCUGAGGAACGAAAGCCAGGGUAGCGAACGGG